rnacentral:rRNA from 1 species
UACAGAGGUCCCAAGCGUUGUUCGGAUUCACUGGGCGUAAAGGGUGCGUAGGUGGCGAGGUAAGUCGGAUGUGAAAGCUCGGAGCUCAACUCCGAAAUGGCAUUGGAAACUACCUUGCUAGAGGGUCGGAGGGGGGACUGGAAUUCUUGGUGUAGCAGUGAAAUGCGUAGAUAUCAAGAGGAACACCAGUGGCGAAGGCGGCGACCUGGACAGAUAUUGACGCUGAGGUGCGAAAGCGUGGGGAGCAAACAGG